rnacentral:rRNA from 1 species
UACGAAGGGGGCUAGCGUUGCUCGGAAUCACUGGGCGUAAAGGGUGCGUAGGCGGGUCUUUAAGUCAGGGUGAAAUCCUGGAGCUCAACUCCAGAACUGCCUUUGAUACUGAAGAUCUUGAGUUCGGGAGAGGUGAGUGGAACUGCGAGUGUAGAGGUGAAAUUCGUAGAUAUUGGGAAGAACACCGGUGGCGAAGGCGGCCAUCUGGACCGCAACUGACGCUGAGGCGCGAAAGCGUGGGGAGCAAACAGG